rnacentral:rRNA from 1 species
UUGACCGUACUAAGGUAGCAUAAUAAUUUGCCUUUUAAUUGGAGGCUAGUAUGAAUGGCUUGACGUGAAAUAUACUGUCUCAACUAUAUUUAGUAGAAUUUAACUUUUAGGUGAAGAGGCCUAAAUUUUGUGGGAAGACAAGAAGACCCUAUUGAGCUUUAAAUAUUUAUGUUAGUGGGAGCCUAAGAUUUAUAUGAUGGUCAUUACUUCUAAGUAUGUUGGUUGGGGUGACCGAGGAGUAUAAAGUAACCUCCUUGUAAUGUAAAGAAUUUGUUAUCAACGAACCUGUAAUAUAGGUUAUUCGGUAGUUACCAUAGGGAUAACAGCGUAAUUCUUUUGAAGAGUUCAUAUCGAAGAAAGAGAUUGCGACCUCGAUGUUGGAUUAAGGUGUCCUAAGGG